rnacentral:rRNA from 1 species
GAUGAACGCUGGCGGCGUGCCUAACACAUGCAAGUCGAGCGAACAGACGAGGUGCUUGCUCCUCUGACGUUAGCGGCGGACGGGUGAGUACCAUGUGGAUAACAUACCUAUCAGACUGGGAUAACUUCGGCAAACCGGAGCUAAUACCGGAUAACAUAUUGAACCGCAUGGUUCAACAGUGAAAGACGGUCUUGCUGUCACUUAAAGAUGGACCCGCGCCGCAUUAGAUAGUUGGGAAGGUAACGGCUCACCAAGGCAACGAUGCGUAGCCGACCCGAGAGAGUGAUCGGCGAGACUGGAAGUGAGACACGGCCCAGACUCCGACGGUGAGACGCAGUAGAGACUCAUCCGCGAUGGGCGAGAGGCUGAUGGAGCAACGCCGGGUAAGUUAAGAAGGUCUUCGGAUGGGAAAGCUCUGUUACUAUGGGAGAUGAAAUGUGUUUGUAACUGUGCACGUAUUGACGGUACCUGGUGAGUAAGCCACGGCUAACUACGUG